AGCACCAUAAUGAAUAAGAUUCUAAUAGUGGUUGGCCAUGGAAUUGAAAAUGUGGUGUUAAUAGGGAAAUAGGCAAUUUGAGAUGACUGAAAGAGAUGGUACAAGGCACAACUUCAGAAGACAAUUGAUUUUCUUCUGCCCGAAUAGAUUUGAGAUCAUGUAGAAUAGACUAAGUUUAUGGAAAUUUCACCAAGAGAAGCUUAGUCAAUACAGGUAUUAUGCAUUUCCAAAUUCUAGAAGUCCAGAAAUGAAUCACUACUCUUGGGAUAAUCACGUCCACUACUACUGAACCAAGAUACCAAUUACUAGUAAAUUAUUAGUUUUCACUUACAUUUACAAAGCUGCCUCCUAGACAGUGAAAGUGAAAGCACAAAACAAGAAUAGAUUAGUGCUUUCAUUUUGCUCGAGAUAC
rnacentral:misc_RNA from 1 species